rnacentral:rRNA from 1 species
GAUGAACGCUGGCGGCGUGCCUAAUACAUGCGAGUCGAGCGAACGGACGAGAAGCUUGCUUCUCUGAUGUUAGCGGCGGACGGGAGAGUAACACGUGGAUAACCUACCUAUAAGACUGGGAUAACUUCGGGAAACCGGAGCUAAUACCGGAUGAUAUAUUGAACCGGAUGGUUCAAAAGUGAAAGACGGUCUUGCUGUCACUUAUAGAUGGAUCCGCGCUGCAUUAGCUAGUUGGUAAGGUAACGGCUUACCAAGGCAACGAUGCAUAGCCGACCUGAGAGGGUGAUCGGACACACGGGAAGUGAGACACGGUCCAGACUCCUACGGGAGGAAGCAGUAGGGAAUCUUCCGCAAUGGGCGAAAGCCUGACGGAGCAACGCCGCGUGAGUGAUGAAGGUCUACGGAUCGUAAAGCUCUGUUAUUAGGGAAGAACAUAUGUGUAAGUAACUGUGCACAUCUUGACGGUACCUAAUCAGAAAGCCACGGCUAACUACGUG